UCUCCGUUGGUGAACCAGCGGAGGGAUCAUUACAGAGUUUUCACAACUCCCAACCCUUGCGAACCGUACCCAUUCUGUUCUCGUUGCUUCCGGCGGGGGGGACGGGGGGGCCCGAAACGGCCUCCCCGCCCCGCCCGCCGGGGGCGGCGGGCCCUACGCACCUUUAUAUACCAACCACCAGAAACCGUCUGAGAAAACAAACAAAAUAAUCAAAACUUUCAACAACGGAUCUCUUGGCUCUG
rnacentral:misc_RNA from 1 species